rnacentral:rRNA from 1 species
GUGUCAGCAGCCGCGGUAAUACAGAGACUGCAAGCGUUGUUCGGAUUCAUUGGGCGUAAAGGGUGCGCAGGCGGUGUGCUAAGUCGGAUGUGAAAUCUCACAGCCUAACUGUGAUAGGUCAUUCGAAACUGGCAUGCUAGAGGAUUGGAGAGGAGACUGGAAUAGUUGGUGUAGCAGUGAAAUGCGUAGAGAUCAACUAGAACACCGGUGGCGAAGGCGAGUCUCUGGACAAUUCCUGACGCUCAGGCACGAAAGCCAGGGGAGCAAACGGGAUUAGAAACCCCCGUAGUCC